rnacentral:rRNA from 1 species
GCCCGCGGUGCAUUAGCUAGUUGGUAAGGUAAGGCUUACCAAGGCGAUGAUGCAUAGCCCGAGUUGAGAGACUGAUCGGCCACAUUGGGACUGAGACACGGCCCAAACUCCUACGGGAGGCAGCAGUAGGGAAAUCUUCCACAAUGGACGCAAGUCUGAUGGAGCAACGCCGCGUGAGUGAAGAAGGGUUUCGGCUCGUAAAGCUCUGUUGUUGGUGAAGAAGGACAGGGGUAGUAACUGACCUUUGUUUGACGGUAAUCAAUUAGAAAGUCACGGCUAACUACGUGCCAGCAGCCGCGGGUAAU